rnacentral:rRNA from 1 species
CCUACGGGGCGCAGCAGUGAGGAAUAUUGGUCAAUGGACGAGAGUCUGAACCAGCCAAGUAGCGUGAAGGAUGACUGCCCUAUGGGUUGUAAACUUCUUUUAUAAAGGAAUAAAACGAGGCACGUGUGCCUUUUUGCAUGUACUUUAUGAAUAAGGAUCGGCUAACUCCGUGCCAGCAGCCGCGGUAAUACGGAGGAUACGAGCGUUAUCCGGAUUUAUUGGGUUUAAAGGGAGCGUAGAUGGGUUGGUAAGUCAGUUGUGAAAGUUUGCGGCUCAACCGUAAAAUUGCAAUUGAUACUGGCAGUCGUGAGUACAGUUGAGGUAGGCGGAAUUCGUGGUGUAGCGGUGAAAUGCUUAGAUAUCACGAAGAACCCCGAUUGCGAAGGCAGCUUACUAAACUGUGACUGACAUUGAUGCUCGAAAGUGUGGGUAUCAAACAGGAUUAGAUACCCCAGUAGUC